rnacentral:lncRNA from 1 species
CCGUAUGCAGUCUAUGUGGAUUCUAGUUUCCAUUAAGGAAUUAAAGUAAUUUCUCAAAUUGGAGGUAGAGGCUAUCAAUUCAUAUAAAAUAGUGGGAGAGUCUUUAGACUAAAGUUCAAAUUUUAAGCUUAAAAUAGUUUAUAUAUUAAAAGAUUAAUUAUUUUCUUUUCAGAAAUGACUAGAAUAUUGUUGCUCUAUCCACUGUU